GUUUGAAUAGCUCAGUUGGUUAGAGCGUUGUGCUGAUAACUCCAAGGUUGCAGGUUUGAUCCCUGUAUUGGACA